rnacentral:rRNA from 1 species
GACGAACGCUGGCGGCGUGCUUAACACAUGCAAGUCGAACGAAGCUUGAUUACGGAUUCUUCGGAUGAAGUAUGAUAUGACUGAGUGGCGGACGGGGGAGUAACGCGUGAGUAACCUGCCCUUCAGAGGGGGAUAGCGUUUGGAAACGAACGGUAAUACCGCAUAAUGUAUUUUGACCGCAUGAUCGAAAUACCAAAGAUUUAUCGCUGAAGGAUGGACUCGCGUCUGAUUAGGUAGUUGGUGGGGUAACGGCCUACCAAGCCGACGAUCAGUAGCCGGACUGAGAGGUUGAUCGGCCACAUUGGGACUGAGACACGGCCCAGACUCCUACGGGAGGCAGCAGUGGGGAAUAUUGCACAAUGGGCGCAAGCCUGAUGCAGCAACGCCGCGUGAAGGAAGACGGUUUUCGGAUUGUAAACUUCUGUUCUUAGGGAAGAAUAAUGACGGUAGCUAAGGAGCAAGCCACGGCUAACUACGUG